rnacentral:rRNA from 1 species
AAGAGAGAGUUCAAGAGUACGUGAAACCGUUCAGGGGUAAACCUGAGAAACCCAAAAGAUCGAAUAGGGAGAUUCAUCGUCAGCAUAUUUCGUAUAUGUAUAAGUUAUGAUGUGGGUUACUUUUGUAUUGCUUGCACAUUCUUGUACAUUUAGUUGCGAAAUAUGUCGGCGUGCACUUCUCCCUUAGUAGAACGUCGCAACCCGUUGAGCGUCGGUCUAUGGCCCGAGUGGGAGCCUUUAAUGUUUUUAACAUUGAAGACCCUUGGUGUUCUGACCGACUGCUCGGCGGUACUCGUAUGGUAUUAAGCCGCAUGCUUUAUGCGUCCAUAUCUGUCACAAGUGAGGUCAAUUUCUGGCAGUACGGACCUAGUGCCGUCGUUGGAUUUGGCCAGCUGUUGGUUGACGGUAUUCUAGAACAGGCUCAUACCGGUUAGCGAUGCUACUGCUUUGGGUACUUUCAGGACCCGUCUUGAAACACGGACCAAGGAGUCUAACAUGUGCGCGAGUCAUUGGGAUUAUUNAAAUUAAACCUAAAGGCGCAAUGAAAGUAAAGGUCUUCCUUGCGUCGACCGAGGGAGGAUGAGUUGUUUCAUGAUACAUCUCCGCACUCCCGGGGCGUCUCAUUUUCAUUUGAAAAGAGGCGCACCUAGAGCGUACACGUUGGGACCCGAAAGAUGGUGAACUA